CCACAUGCAAAGAUUCCAACUUUAUAACCUCCAUGUGGGCUUUAACAGUAUUUUCCUAAAAGUGAUUUGGAUGUCUCCUCUUUCGUGCAAGGCGCCAGGACCUGUUUUGUACAUGUCACUUAUAAUGGAAUGCAGAAGAGCUGUAGGAUGCAGAAUGCUGCUCGAUGCAGGAUCCUGGCCUUUUUAUUGAUAGAAAAAGGAAGAGGACACUGGAACACAGACACACACAUGAAGACCUGGGGAGAAGACAGCCAUCUAUAAGCCAAGGAGAAAGACCUCAAAAGAAGCCAAUUUUGAUCUCCAGAAAAUAAAGUUCUGUUGUUUAAGCCACUCAGUCUGUGAU